rnacentral:ncRNA from 6 species
AACAGGCUAAUUGCGCCAGGAAGUACAAAUUGAGUGCGCAGUUUGGCACCUCGAUGUCGGCUUAACUUAUCCACAUGAAUGCAGGAAUCAUGAAGGGUUCGACUGUUCGUCGAUUAAUAAGUUACACGAGCUGGGUUAAAUACGUCGUGAGACAGUAU